rnacentral:ncRNA from 1 species
AAAGGUUCGGUCCCAGCCUUGAAAUCAGUUUUUACCACAUAUACACAUGCAAGUCUCCGCACCCCUGUGAGAACGCCCUUUACUUCCCUUCAGGAACAAGGAGCUGGUAUCAGGCACAAUAAUUAGCCCAAGACACCUAGCCAUGCCACCCCCACACGGGCCUCAGCAGUGAUUAACAUUAAAUAUAAGCGACAGCUUGAUUUAGUUAGGGUAAACUAGAGCCGGCAAAUCUGGUGCCAGCCGCCGCGGUUACACCAUGAGGCUCAAAUUGAAUUCUUUCGGCGUAAAGCGUGAUUUAAGUAAGCAUUAAACUAGAGUUAAACUUAAAUUAAGCUGUGAUAAGCUUGUUAUUUAGGAAGCGCAAAAACGAAAGUUACUCUAAUACAACCAACUUGAAUCCACGACAACUAGGACACAAACUAGGAUUAGAUACCCUACUAUGCCUAGUCGUAAACUUUAAACUACUACCAAAUCGCCAGGGAACUACGAGCAAAGCUUAAAACCCAAAGGACUUGACGGUACCCCAUAUCCCCCUAGAGGAGCCUGUCCUAUAAUCGAUAACCCACGUUAAACCUCACCACUUCUAGUUUUUCAGCCUGUAUACCUCCGUCGUCAGCUUACCGCGUGAGCGACCCCAAGUGAGCUCAAUGGUACUUCACCAAUACGUCAGGUCAAGGUGCAGCAAAUGAAGUGGAAAGAGAUGGGCUACACUUUCUAAUUUAGAAAAUACGAAAGACUUCAUGAAAUACAGUCAGAAGGCGGAUUUAGAAGUAAGAGGAGAUCAGAAUGCCCCUCUUAACCUGGCACUGGGGUGUGUACACACCGCCCGUCACCCUCUUCAAAAGCCAAUUACAGUAUUUAACCACCCAACGCACGACAGAAGAGGUAAGUCGUAACAUGGUAAGUAUACCGGAAGGUGUGCUUGGACA